AGAGGCCUGUAAUUUUCCUCAUAGGCACACUUCAACUAUGACAGACAAAAUGAGAAAAAAAAUCCACCAUAAUUUGCAAAUAAAUUCAUUAAAAAUCCUACAACGUGAUUUUCUGGAUUUUUUUUCUCAUUUUGUCUGUCAUAGUUGAAGUGUACCUAUGAUGAAAAUUAUAGGCCUCUCUCAUCUUUUUAAGUGGGAGAAUUUGCACAAUUGGUGGCUGACUAAAUACUUUUUUGCCCCACUGUAUAUGUUGUCUGGUCUUUGUGUGUCUUGACUGUGUGUUGUUGGGAAGUGGAGUUAUGGUGUGAGUGUAAGUUGGACUGUCUGUUAGUUGGACUGUCUAUUAGUUGGACUGUCUGUUAGUUGGACUGUCUGUUAGUUGGACUGUCUAUUAGUUGGACUGUCUGUUAGUUGGACUGUCUGUUAGUUGGAUUGUCUAUUAGUUGGACUGUCUAUUAGUUGGACUGUCUGUUAGUUGGACUGUCUGUUAGUUGGACUGUCUAUUAGUUGGACUGUCUAUUAGUUGGACUGUCUAUUAGUUGGACUGUCUAUUAGUUGGACUGUCUAUUAGUUGGACUGUCUGUUAGUUGGACUGUCUGUUAGUUGGACUGUCUAUUAGUUGGACUGUCUGUUAGUUGGACUGUCUGUUAGUUGGACUGUCUAUUAGUUGGACUGUCUAUUAGUUGGAUUGUCUGUUAGUUGGACUGUCUGUUAGUUGGACUGUCUAUUAGUUGGACUGUCUGUUAGUUGGACUGUCUGUUAGUUGGACUGUCUGUUAGUUGGACUGUCUAUUAGUUGGACUGUCUAUUAGUUGGACUGUCUAUUAGUUGGACUGUCUGUUAGUUGGACUGUCUGUUAGUUGGACUGUCUAUUAGUUGGACUGUCUAUUAGUUGGACUGUCUGUUAGUUGCUGUCACUGUAUUAGCUCUCCAGUCCCUUGCUGAUUUUGGAACCAGGCAGUUAAAUAUGCGUUAUGAAGGUGUUGUAUAAUUUCAGCCGGUAGUUCUGAAAGUAGCGCUCACGAUCCAAAACUGGUCCCCGAAAAUGGUGUGCUAUUGUGUACAACAUCAUCCCUUUCAUAUGAUAUGUGACACCCCCUCCUGCAAUCCGUAUAAUAUGUUACAUAUUCCAGGGGAAUCUGCAGUUGCUAUUAAUUUGUUGACUUGAAUUAAUGAAUUAUUGAUAUGUACCCAUUGAAUCUUGAAGAAUAUAACUUAUAAAUGCCUCAUGAGCUUAUUAGUUCAACUGUCGGUACGACCCAAAAUAUGAGCUUGUUUUACUCCACUGUUUGUUAAGAAAGUAAAUGUAAACAAACAAGAUAUAGACGAAAGACAUGGUGAAAAUGUUCAUUUUUAUAUAAUGGACGGUCAGUGUUAGCUCUGGUUAAAUUUCUCCAGCCCCAUCCCUCAGCUUUUUACUGAAACAGGGAGCGGGACAUCACUUUGCUAUUGAUUAAACUGGUGAUUGCCACUUUAAGAUCCCGUUCAAAUUUCUAACUUGCUGUCUGGAAGUUAUUCAUGUCACUUGUUUACCCACCGUCUCUGUGCAGAUCGUUAAUCUGCGGUCACGAAAGCAUCUCACAAUGUAUGGCACCUAUUUGUUGCAAUUCUUCGUUUUAAUCAAACAUUUGCAUUUCGUAAUUAAAAUAUGAUGUUGAAAUACUUUCCAAAAC
ensembl:lncRNA